AACGAACGCUGGCGGCAGGCUUAACACAUGCAAGUCGAGCGCCCCGCAAGGGGAGCGGCAGACGGGUGAGUAACGCGUGGGAAUCUACCUAUCUCUACGGAAUAACGCAUGGAAACGUGUGCUAAUACCGUAUACGUCCUUCGGGAGAAAGAUUUAUCGGAGAUGGAUGAGCCCGCGUUGGAUUAGCUAGUUGGUGGGGUAAAGGCCUACCAAGGCGACGAUCCAUAGCUGGUCUGAGAGGAUGAUCAGCCACACUGGGACUGAGACACGGCCCAGACUCCUACGGGAGGCGUCAGUGGGGAAUAUUGGACAAAGGGCGCAAGCCUGAUCCAGCCAUGCCGCGUGAGUGACGAAGGCCCUAGGGUUGUAAAGCUCUUUCACCGGUGAAGAUAAUGACGGUAACCGGAGAAGAAGCCCCGGCUAACUUCGUGCCAGCCGCCGCAGUAAUAC
rnacentral:rRNA from 1 species